AUGUACCUAUAAAGGAGGAUAAAAUGAGAAUAGAAUUAAUUAACCCCACAAUUCUGACUUUUCAAUAAUUCUGCAAAGAGCUGAAAAAUAGAGUAAUGUGAGAG